UAUAGUACAAAAUUCUAGCAGUUUUAUAAAAUAGUAUAAAUUCCUAAGAAUUUAUUCACAUUCACCAUGUGCGAUGCAACCAUUUCGGACCCCAUGUCUUUCUUAUACUUGGAUAUGCUGAUAUCAGUUUUAAUUGAGGACACCAAGGAGCUGAAAACGGAAUUCAAUACCAAAAUGGAAUUUAUACAUGAACAAGAGCAACACUGUUUGGAAAAUGCAAAACAUCUAAUAUUCGUGGAUCAGUUUAUAGUAUCACUUAGGGAGUGUGUGUAUAAAUUGGAGAUCGAGUUGCAGGAGAAUGAGAAUGAUUUACUCGCUGCGGAACACCUCGUUUCUCGUGCCGAGGAUUCGCAAAAACUAGACAAUAUUGCCAAUAUACCAUUUAAGCCAAGCCACUAUGUAGAUCUUAUAAAGUUGCUUAUAUCGGCAGAUAAUUCGGCAGCGCAGUGCAGCAGCCUUAAAACAGAAAUCGAACAAUACAAUAGCGAUGCAGCUCAACAUGAAGAGCCUCUAAAUGUGGUUUCCAAUAUUAUUAUGUACCAUGCUAUGACCCUGCAGUCCUUGGAAGAGCAAAUAAGUAGGUUGGAAAAAAUGACGGAAAAUGUUACAAAGAAUUUUGCCGAAAUCAAAUAUCAAUUAAAAAUUAGCAGCCUGGGCACCAAAUGCGUCUGCAAAAUGGCAAAUGAUAUGAACGAUAUGAAUAACAUAUACCGUAGCUAAUUAUAUAUAACUAUUGUAUAUAUUUUAUUUUUGGAAAACACCUCUGUGCUCGAUGAAUAUGAUACAUAAUAAUACACAUGAUAUUUUGUUUAACUAGUUGUUGGCAUCGCGGAAAAACAGCACAUCAUCUGCUAUAAUGCUAGUGCUAGUUUUUUGGUUGCCCUGC